rnacentral:lncRNA from 1 species
GGGGUCGGACUCCUCUUCAUCACUGAGGCCUGGAUCGGGUUCCCCAUCGUCUGCCAACUCGCCAUCCGUAUCCAUUUCUCCUUCGCCUGGAGGUGGGUGGAGCUGAUGAUACAGAUCAAAUGCAAUAUCACGAUAUUGCAUAGCCAGGUCAUUGACAGUAUCUAAGUGAUGUGCCAGCUCCAGUUUCUCCAGCUGGAGCUGGUCCUCUCGUUGCCACGCGACAUCCCGCUGUGCGGUGACCGUGG